CAGAGAGUAGUUUAAUUAAAAUUUUAAUUUUGGAGAUUAAAGAUAGAUAUUUUUAUUUUUCUCUGA
rnacentral:tRNA from 1 species